GGAGAGGUGAAAUAAACUCUUCAAAGAGGGCUCGUGCUGGUGCAGAUUCUGCAUUGAAAAUCCAGAGUCAGAGAAUUCUCUGUGACGUUGGGCAAGGCGCUGCAUCUCUUACCAGCUCAGACUGCCAGUUGGUCACCGAGACACACCAACCUCCGCACUGCUCCUGUCCGUGGAAACAGACAGAGGUGUGGAAGAAUGAGGGUAUAUCUUUUCUAGAGAUCCGAAAGAAGGAGAGCUCUAAAUACAACAGAAAGGAAUUAGAGGCAGCUCAUUUUGAUCCAGGCAGAUCCUUCAACCUUUUGAAAUUUAAAGGAUCCCUGACUUUCCUGAAGCAGUCUCAAGACUCCCAUGCACCCAUGUGCAGAGAAAAUAAAAGUCCCUCUGCGCCGCCUGCUCAUUAAUUUGCUUUUCUUUUCUCAUCAUUUGUUUGCUAGCUUGUCUGCUUGGGAAGAUGGCGUGGGUUUCUAUGAUUUUCCAGUCAUUGCCUAACCCACCUGUUGUAGGGCCCAGCAGCGCUUAAUGGCACUGAGCACCACGGAGCUGCAAUGCCCAUAAGCAUGUCUGUUCCCAGUCCCUUUGGAGUCACUCCCUCACAGACACCCUUUCAUCAGCAGAUUUCAGGUGUGCAGCAAACCCUGGGCGCAUGGAGCACAGCAUACUGGAGCACUGCUGGCUGCACACCCCAGCACGCACCGGUGCGUGUCCCUGUCCAGCCAGCUACAAACAGCAGCACAGAGUGGCUGUGAUUUGGCAUCUCAUUACCACAAUGUCUUCGGCAGUUCAGACCUGCUGCAGCCCUGCAACUGGAUUCUCCAACACACUCCAUGUUGCUCCCUGGCACCCAGAGAAUCAGCUGGAUUUUGCACCAUAGGAAAGCUCUGCAAACACUGUAGUUGUUACCAACACAGACACACAUUCCCACAAAUACCACUCUCAUGCUAGAUACAUCCAACCAAGCAGCCAAAUGGUUUAAAGCCAAGAGGUGGUCUCAGAGCCAGUAAACUACAGCCCUUGGAAAUCCCUAAGAACUCCAGAGGCAGAGUGCCCACUGCUCUGCACUGUCCCAUGGCUGCUGCAGUUUCCUACCUACGAGUGGUGUUGGUUUUGCAGACAGUGCCACAUCUGAACCUGUCAGGCUGCAACAAAUGCAUCUCAGACCCAAGAGCCAGAAGCUUUGGAUGCGGUACCUCCAGAGUGCAGCCCUCCAGGAGAUCUUGGUGACAUCCAGAGCAGAAGGACCUGGUGCUAUACCUGGAAUUACCAGUCUCAGCCCAUGGAAGUGAAGUUCGGAACGUCUGAGGCACAUCUCCUCUUCCAAAUCUUGGAAAUUCUCCCACUGUGGUUUCCCAAACCUCGGUGUUGACAUGUCUUGUUGGGCCUUAUGACACAGAAGUUGGACUGGGUCUGUACUGGAUCCCACUUUUGCCCUGAGUCUAUUAGCAUAACAUUUUAGUCCCUCUCGCUCUUCCAAACUGACACACAGUACUGCUGAAGUUCCUAAAAAUCUGGGAUUCUGCUUUUCUUGGUAAGCCCAAAACAUUUUUGAAAGGUUUGGAAGAAGUCUCAGAAGUUGUCCUGAAGGAGGUCUGGUUCAUUCCUCCAUGGAUGCGUGCCUUGCCUCAGGGGUCAGAUACCAACUCAGUCAGUAGCUGUUAAGGGUUUGAUCCUCCCAUAGAUUUUGUAUGCGAUUGAGAUGAAUGAAUUUUACACCUUUAUGACUUUUCUCAUCUGGCAAUUGGCUACUAAAGAUUGUUCAAACCCAUACAUUUGGUGAGACCAACUUUUCUGACGGCCACGCAGUACCCUCAGAGGGGUUUUCCAGCUUUCUAACCCGGCUUAGAAAGAAAUGAUGCAAUCCUUGGAAAGUUACUAUUGAUUUGAGCCUCAUGAAGUUGGUGGCCAAGCGUCAUCGGGUCAGAUGAGAUCAGGUCUUCCCCAGACACCCAUAUGACUGUAGACACAGCUCCAUCUCCUACUGCAACUUGGAAUUCUUUUAUGGGUAAAGAUGCAGAGUUUCACAG
ensembl:lncRNA